rnacentral:rRNA from 1 species
UACGUAGGGUGCAAGCGUUGUCCGGAAUUAUUGGGCGUAAAGAGCUCGUAGGCGGUUUGUCGCGUCUGCUGUGAAAACUCGGGGCUCAACCCCGAGCUUGCAGUGGGUACGGGCAGACUAGAGUGCGGUAGGGGAGACUGGAAUUCCUGGUGUAGCGGUGGAAUGCGCAGAUAUCAGGAGGAACACCGGUGGCGAAGGCGGGUCUCUGGGCCGUAACUGGACGCUGAGGAGCGAAAGUAUGGGGAGCGAACAGG